rnacentral:lncRNA from 1 species
UUUUUUUUUUUUUUUUUUUUUUUGUCAUUUCUUGGGCUGCUCUCAUGGCAUAUGGAGGUUCCCAGGCUAGGGGUCAAAUCGGAGCUACAGCUGCCGGCCUACGCCACAGCCACAGCAAUGCCAGAUCCGAGCCUUGUCUGCUCCUUACACCACAGCUCAUGGCAACAGAGGCCAGGGAUUGAACGCACAUCCUAAUGGAUCCUAGUUGGAUUCAUUUCUGCUGUGCCACAAUGGGAACUCCCCUUCCUUUGUAUUUUAAAGAACAGUGUCUAAAGUAGGUCCCAUCCUUUUGUUAUUCUCAACCACAGUUCCAACGGUUGAGUGUCUCCUGGGAUAUGCAUGCUCUGUUCCAUUUCUUUCUUUUUUUAAACAGACCCAGAGUCCCAGAAGAAGUUAGAUGUUGUGCUUACAAACUGCAUACACAUGGGCAUCAUGGAAGUGCAAAACUCCAAUAAAGAAAUAAGCACAUGGUUUCUUAGUUCAUUUUUUAUGUUAAUGAUGAAAGUGCAGGUAAGAAAAUAAGAACUAGCCUUAAGGACAUAUAAGUGAUGGAAAGAGAAGGAAAAUUCUAGGUGGAGCCCAGAGAAGUUAUCAUUCUCUUCCUAUCAACAUUGGGUGGAUGUGCAGGCCCCUUGCUUUAUAGCAGCAGAACAAAAUAAAAUGACUGAUGAUCAAAGAAACUCACAGAUGCCUACAGAAUUAAAUUAUCAACCCACUUUGACAUUUUGCAAGUAUAAAUAGAAACAGAAAUAACUAGAGGUGUAGAAAUAGUUGAAGAAGCCCCUCAACAUUAAAUUCUAAACUUCAAAUUUGAAACACCUAGAGAUUGGGGUUUCUCUGUAAUCUAUAAAUCAGCCUUGAUUCAAAGAAAUAGCCAGGCUGGCAUGGGGGAGCAACUUUAGAUCUGGCCAGCACAGGACCUGGGGAGGCUCAGUAGAGACCCACUAUCUGUUAAUAAGGAAGAAGACCCAAAACAGAGCCAGGACAAAUAAUUCUGUCAUUUUAAUGUCAAAAGUGUCCAACCAUUCUUUAUUGUGAAAAGGAUACAUAAUUAAGCUGUAUCUUUAUAUUAUUAUUUUUUUUUUACUAUUUGGCAUAUUAUUCAUUCCCAGUGAUGUUUCAUUUCUCCUCAAAUGAUUCUUUUGCAACCUUUAGAAAGCCCUGCAAUUUCCUUUUCAUUUGGCCGAACGUGGCAGACACAGGAGGGAGAGCUUCUAAAUCCUGUUGCUCAGAAUAUGGCUUUUUUUUUUUUUUUUUUUUUUUUGUCUUUUCAGGGUCGCACCCACUGCAAAUGGAGGUUCCCAGGCUAGGGGUCUAAUCGAAGCUACAGCUGCCAGCCUACACCAGAGCCACAGCAACGCCAGAUCUGAGCCACGUCUGUGACCUAUAGCACAGCUCAUGGCAAUGCCUGAUCCUUAACCCACUGAGUAAGGCCAGGAAUCGAACUCAAAACCUCGUGGUUCCUCGUGGUUUCUGCUGCGCCACAACGGGAACUCCCAGAAUAUGUUUAAAAAAAAAAAAAAAAGCAGGACCCCAGACAGGUGUGUAACUGUUUGAAUGGGCUAUCUCUUAUACAACUAGGAAUAAGACCUACUUGGAAGAAGUUUUGCUCUAGAAACUGUUGAUGCUCUUGACUUAUUGAGGGGAGUUCCAUAAAAUGGCCAUUACCAACUGUAUAAGACAAAACUCGUGUUAGCUCGAAGGUUAGUCCCUGUUUUAAAAUCCCAAAAAAGAUAAACCCUAUUAUGGGCCAUUUCCACUUUCCCCACUGCUUCCCUGACAAGAGGUAAUGUGGGUCUGAGGAGGAAACUGAAGAUUCAUGGCCCAAAUAGAGCAGAAGUCUUGUCUUGUGUAACUGCCCAAAUGCUAAUACAAACUCAUUGUUGCUCAAUUUGUUCUUUAAAAGCUGUGCUUUAUUCUAUUAACUUUGAUUUGCCCUCUUAGCUUCUGUCAUUUUUCCAUACUGGACUGUCCUGGCAAUCCUCCUCACCUUUCUGUCUGGGUUUCAGUCUCUGACAGGGGCUCUGUGCCUAGGUCUCCCUGCCAGGAUCCAUCUGGCCCAUCGGUAACUAACAGUCAUCUUAGCCUUGUCCAGUGGUGAUAGCUUCACCCGUAGAUUUAACUGAGACAAAACUGAACAACUUACCAUAAAUAUCGGAGUCAAGAAAAAAUUAUUAGGAGACUAGGCGUACAUAAGUUUAGAUAAAAACAGAGAAGGCAGGACGACAGUGUGGUCCAAGUAAUUUUCUCUGUGCAAAGAUGCCUUCUAUUUAGUAUAACUAAACACAUUACUUCUGGGGAAAAAAAAAAACAACAACAAAAAUUCACACUCCAAAAAAGGGAGAAAAACUAGUAUUGAGAGCAAUUAUGAGUAUGACUUAAAAUGUCACUUUUCAUCUGUUGUACAGGAGAGUAAAUAUCAUGAAAACUUAACCAUGAUAAGGAAAAAAAAAACACUUAACCAUGAUGAAAUAUUUGUCAAACAGUAUUUGUUCCUAUAUUAAGAAAUUAAUACCCACAUGCACAACUUUGAGUUGAUAGAAACUAAAAACUUAAGGUAAUAGAAUUAAGGAUUUCAUUUUCCUUUUUAGAGUUUUAUAUAUUUUUCAAAUUUUUUGGAAAGGCGUUUUGGAAAUAGAAAAAAAAAAAAA